rnacentral:rRNA from 1 species
GCGUGAGUGAUGAAGGCCCUAGGGUUGUAAAACUCUUUCGUGGGGGACGAUAAUGACGGUACCCCAAGAAGAAGCUCCGGCUAACUUCGUGCCAGCAGCCGCGGUAAUACGAAGGGGGCUAGCGUUGUUCGGAUUUACUGGGCGUAAAGCGCGUGUAGGCGGGCUGGAAAGUUGGGGGUGAAAUCCCGAGGCUCAACCUCGGAACUGCCUCCAAAACUUCCAGCCUGGACUCAAGUAGAGGCAAGUGGAAUUGCGAGUGUAGAGGUGAAAUUCGU